rnacentral:rRNA from 1 species
CAGCCUGAUGCGCGACGCCGCGUGAGGGAUGAAGGCCUUCGGGUUGUAAACCUCUUUCAGCAGGGAAGAAGCGAAAGUGACGGUACCUGCAGAAGAAGCGCCGGCUAACUACGUGCCAGCAGCCGCGGUAAUACGUAGGGCGCAAGCGUUGUCCGGAAUUAUUGGGCGUAAAGAGCUCGUAGGCGGUUUGUCGCGUCUGCUGUGAAAACCUGAGGCUCAACCUCGGGCUUGCAGUGGGUACGGGCAGACUAGAGUGCGGUAGGGGUGACUGGAAUUCCUGGUGUAGCGGUGGAAUGCGCAGAUAUCAGGAGGAACACCGAUGGCGAAGGCAGGUCACUGGGCCGCAACUGACGCUGAGGAGCGAAAGCAUGGGGAGCGAACAGGAUUAGAUACCCUGGUAGUCCAUGCCGUAAACGUUGGGCACUAGGUGUGGGGCUCAUUCCACGAGUUCCGUGCCGCAGCAAACGCAUUAAGUGCCCCGCCUGGGGAGUACGGCCGCAAGGCUAAAACUCA